rnacentral:rRNA from 1 species
GACAGAGGGGGCAAGCGUUGCUCGGAAUUACUGGGCGUAAAGGGCGCGUAGGCGGGAUGGUAAGUCGGUCGUGAAAUCCCUCGGCUCAACCGAGGAACGUCGAUCGAUACUACCGUUCUUGAGGAUUGCAGAGGAGACUGGAAUUCCCGGUGUAGCGGUGAAAUGCGUAGAUAUCAGGAGGAACACCGGUGGCGAAGGCGCACACCUGGCCCGAUACUGACGCUGAGGCGCGAAAGCUAGGGGAGCAAACGGG